rnacentral:misc_RNA from 1 species
UGGAUAAAUAUAGACCAGUAAACAAACAAUACUCUCAUUGGUUACAGUUCCAAGAAAGUAGUGCAUCCCAUACAGAGCCUCCCGGAACUAUUUACAAGGAUAUCAUUGCACGAUUUAUGCGCGAGAUAGACACGGCAAACUGGCUCACAAUUUACCAAACUCUUUUAAAAGUCUUUUAGAAGGAUUUACAAAAUAACAGAAGGGAAGAGAAAAAAUGUUGCCAUCGCGCUCUUGCGAGCUGCAAUUAGUUCGUGUUGCUGCAUGUCCGUAGCAAAAUUAGUCAAAUUAGUCCAAUCAAGUGGAGGUACAGCGUGGGAUGAGAAUGUUGCGAUGAUUAAUGCGAGUUGCAGGGAGUGCACGCUAACCUCUAUCGAUGAAAAUUAUUAGUCACGUGACAGGUCCGCGACUUCACAGCGUAAUUAGUUGUACAUAGAUAAACAUAUAUAGAUGCGAAAAUAAUAGACCAGUCGGAUGCCACGAACACUUUUUUUUUUAAAGGAAACAUAAUUAAAAACGAAAGUUGGUUUCGUCGAGACAUGGACUGUGUCGAAAUAGCUUCGUGUUCCUCAUCAGUGCAAGAAAACUGAUGUCCUCCGACCAGCUCACGUGCCUGUUCCCCCGGGGUUGCGAAAUAAAGGAAACUAAUCAUCCAACGCUUCUCCUACGAUUAAACCAACAAUAUGUAGCCAUUAAUGGAUUAUUUUCUUCUCAAUAUUUCAGGCAGUUGCUUAACAAGGAGGCAUUGUGUGGGAUGAAGUCUCCCUUGUGUCGAACCUCAACUAUGUCAUGACACAGAAAAGUGCCACGUGUCACUGGCGCAAAGAGGAAACGGAAGAUGGGGUGGUUGGAGAGAUGGCCAGGAAGUAGAGAAUUCUACAGAGGAAACCCUGAGUUUCUGUAUCAGCAGUACUAGGAGAGAAGCCCAAGGCAGAUCUGAGAUCUGGAGAGAAAAAAACUCUUGCCGAUGGUUGUCCGAAAGCUGUGCAUUGCUUCCCUUUGCAUCACAUCCGAUGAAUAUGGGAUUGUAUGGACAUAUAAUAACAACAGACUGGCAGAAUGUAAAAUUGGUCAGGGCACGAGUGACCCGGGUAGCAGGCGGCCAUUGUCCACUUUUUGCUUGCUUUUCGUAGAAGUGGCAUCCCAACAGGACACCCGUGACACAGUCUCCUCACAGUGCAGGCCACAGACUCAGUGACAUUGCAGGGAGAAGGAAUCCUGGCCCAGUCAUCCAGAGAUCAACAGAGGUCAAAAGAGAGGGAAGCCUGUGGAUUGUGGUGUCUUCGGAUCAGAAAGAAUCGAAAUCAUCGAGAUGAGAGGUGGCAUCUCAUCGAACGCGCAGUGGACAGGUGCGACACUACAC